CAGCAGCCGCGGGAACACGAAGGGUGCAAGCGUUACUCGGAAUUACUGGGCGUAAAGCGUGCGUAGGUGGUGGUUUAAGUCCGUUGUGAAAGCCCUGGGCUCAACCUGGGAAUUGCAGUGGAUACUGGGUCACUAGAGUGUGGUAGAGGAUAGUGGAAUUUCCGGUGUAGCAGUGAAAUGCGUAGAGAUCGGAAGGAACAUCUGUGGCGAAGGCGACUAUCUGGGCCAACACUGACACUGAGGCACGAAAGCGUGGGGAGCAAACAGGAUUAGAUACCCGUGUAGUCCCUGUCUCUUAUAC
rnacentral:rRNA from 1 species